CCCUUAGAUGUUCUGGGCCGCACGCGUGCUACACUGAGUGGAUCAGCGGGUCAGGUUGCGCGAAAGUGUUUCCUAAUCUUGAAAUCCGCUCGUGAUGGGGAUUGACGGUUGCAAUUUUCCGUCAUGAACGAGGAAUACCUUGUAAGCGCGGGUCAUCAUCCCGCGCUGAAUACGUCCCUGCCCUUUGUACACACCGCCCGUCGCUCCUACCGAUUGAGUGGUCCGGUGAGGCUUUGGGAUCUGAGCAAAAGGAGCGUUUCGCUCGUUUGGCUCGGAAAACUCAGUCGAACCUUAUCAUUUAGAGGAAGGAGAAGUCGUAACA
rnacentral:rRNA from 1 species